rnacentral:rRNA from 1 species
AUUGAACGCUGGCGGCAGGCCUAACACAUGCAAGUCGAGCGGAUGACGGGAGCUUGCUCCUUGAUUCAGCGGCGGACGGGUGAGUAAUGCCUAGGAAUCUGCCUGGUAGUGGGGGACAACGUUUCGAAAGGAACGCUAAUACCGCAUACGUCCUACGGGAGAAAGCAGGGGACCUUCGGGCCUUGCGCUAUCAGAUGAGCCUAGGUCGGAUUAGCUAGUUGGUGGGGUAAUGGCUCACCAAGGCGACGAUCCGUAACUGGUCUGAGAGGAUGAUCAGUCACACUGGAACUGAGACACGGUCCAGACUCCUACGGGAGGCAGCAGUGGGGAAUAUUGGACAAUGGGCGAAAGCCUGAUCCAGCCAUGCCGCGUGUGUGAAGAAGGUCUUCGGAUUGUAAAGCACUUUAAGUUGGGAGGAAGGGCAGUAAGCUAAUACCCUGCUGUUUUGACGUUACCGACAGAAUAAGCACCGGCUAACUCUGUGCCAGCCGCCGCAGUAAGAC